rnacentral:SRP_RNA from 1 species
GGGAGAGCUAGGCUGGCGCGCUAGUCCUGCGUUGUUACUGUGAAUGGACUUUACACAGAGCCGAAGCCCAAUUAAGGGUCAGUUUAGUCUGAUCAGUCCUGGCAUUUUUGUUGACGACUUGUCCUUUGGGAUGAACUUGUAGUGAAUCAGGUCAGAUCUGGAAAGAAGCAGCCUUAAACUAUAACAUUCAUGUUCAAAGGGUUGCAAGUUUGAGAAAAUGUUGGGAUUCAACUGGUUAGGUUAUUCUGAUUCGACUGAGGGUGUGCCCC